rnacentral:rRNA from 1 species
CCUACGGGAGGCAGCAGUGGGGAAUUUUGGACAAUGGGCGCAAGCCUGAUCCAGCAAUGCCGCGUGAGUGAAGAAGGCCUUCGGGUUGUAAAGCUCUUUUGUCAGGGAAGAAACGGUGGGAGCUAAUAUCUCCUACUAAUGACGGUACCUGAAGAAUAAGCACCGGCUAACUACGUGCCAGCAGCCGCGGUAAUACGUAGGGUGCAAGCGUUAAUCGGAAUUACUGGGCGUAAAGCGUGCGCAGGCGGUUUUGUAAGUCUGUCGUGAAAGCCCCGGGCUCAACCUGGGAAUUGCGAUGGAGACUGCAAGGCUUGAAUCUGGCAGAGGGGGGUAGAAUUCCACGUGUAGCAGUGAAAUGCGUAGAGAUGUGGAGGAACACCGAUGGCGAAGGCAGCCCCCUGGGUCAAGAUUGACGCUCAUGCACGAAAGCGUGGGGAGCAAACAGGAUUAGAUACCCUGGUAGUCCACGCCCUAAACGAUGUCUACUAGUUGUACGGGUUUUAAUUAACGUUGGUAACGCAGCUACGCGUGAGUAGACCGCCGUCGGGUAGGUACGGUCGCGAGAAGUUAAACGUUAAAUAGUAGUUAGACGGCGUGAGACGUGACCGACGGACGACGACGAGGGAGGAGG